CUUAUGCGUUGUUGGGUAGGGGAGCGUUCUGUAAGCCUGUGAAGGUGUGCUGUGAGGCAUGCUGGAGGUAUCAGAAGUGCGAAUGCUGACAUAAGUAACGAUAAAGCGGGUGAAAAGCCCGCUCGCCGGAAGACCAAGGGUUCCUGUCCAACGUUAAUCGGGGCAGGGUGAGUCGACCCCUAAGGCGAGGCCGAAAGGCGUAGUCGAUGGGAAACAGGUUAAUAUUCCUGUACUUGGUGUUACUGCGAAGGGGGGACGGAGAAGGCUAUGUUGGCCGGGCGACGGUUGUCCCGGUUUAAGCGUGUAGGCUGGUUUUCCAGGCAAAUCCGGAAAACCAAGGCUGAGGCGUGAUGACGAGGCACUACGGUGCUGAAGCAACAAAUGCCCUGCUUCCAGGAAAAGCCUCUAAGCAUCAGGUAACAUCAAAUCGUACCCCAAACCGACACAGGUGGUCAGGUAGAGAAUACCAAGGCGCUUGAGAGAACUCGGGUGAAGGAACUAGGCAAAAUGGUGCCGUAACUUCGGGAGAAGGCACGCUGAUAUGUAGGUGAAGCGACUUGCUCGUGGAGCUGAAAUCAGUCGAAGAUACCAGCUGGCUGCAACUGUUUAUUAAAAACACAGCACUGUGCAAACACGAAAGUGGACAUAUACGGUGUGACGCCUGCCCGGUGCCGGAAGGUUAAUUGAUGGGGUUAGCGGUAACGCGAAGCUCUUGAUCGAAGCCCCGGUAAACGGCGGCCGUAACUAUAACGGUCCUAAGGUAGCGAAAUUCCUUGUCGGGUAAGUUCCGACCUGCACGAAUGGCGUAAUGAUGGCCAGGCUGUCUCCACCCGAGACUCAGUGAAAUUGAACUCGCUGUGAAGAUGCAGUGUACCCGCGGCAAGACGGAAAGACCCCGUGAACCUUUACUAUAGCUUGACACUGAACAUUGAGCCUUGAUGUGUAGGAUAGGUGGGAGGCUUUGAAGUGUGGACGCCAGUCUGCAUGGAGCCGACCUUGAAAUACCACCCUUUAAUGUUUGAUGUUCUAACGUUGGCCCGUAAUCCGGGUUGCGGACAGUGUCUGGUGGGUAGUUUGACUGGGGCGGUCUCCUCCUAAAGAGUAACGGAGGAGCACGAAGGUUGGCUAAUCCUGGUCGGACAUCAGGAGGUUAGUGCAAUGGCAUAAGCCAGCUUGACUGCGAGCGUGACGGCGCGAGCAGGUGCGAAAGCAGGUCAUAGUGAUCCGGUGGUUCUGAAUGGAAGGGCCAUCGCUCAACGGAUAAAAGGUACUCCGGGGAUAACAGGCUGAUACCGCCCAAGAGUUCAUAUCGACGGCGGUGUUUGGCACCUCGAUGUCGGCUCAUCACAUCCUGGGGCUGAAGUAGGUCCCAAGGGUAUGGCUGUUCGCCAUUUAAAGUGGUACGCGAGCUGGGUUUAGAACGUCGUGAGACAGUUCGGUCCCUAUCUGCCGUGGGCGCUGGAGAACUGAGGGGGGCUGCUCCUAGUACGAGAGGACCGGAGUGGACGCAUCACUGGUGUUCGGGUUGUCAUGCCAAUGGCACUGCCCGGUAGCUAAAUGCGGAAGAGAUAAGUGCUGAAAGCAUCUAAGCACGAAACUUGCCCCGAGAUGAGUUCUCCCUGAGACUUAGAGUCUCCUGAAGGAACGUUGAAGACGACGACGUUGAUAGGCCGGGUGUGUAAGCGCAGCGAUGCGUUGAGCUAACCGGUACUAAUGAACCGUGAGGCUUAACCUUACAACGCCGAAG
rnacentral:rRNA from 1 species